rnacentral:rRNA from 1 species
ACUAUGUCAACUGGUUGUCGGGGAAGCAAUUCCUUGGUAACGAAGCUAACGCGUGAAGUUGACCGCCUGGGGAGUACGGCCGCAAGGUUAAAACUCAAAGGAAUUGACGGGGACCCGCACAAGCGGUGGAUUAUGUGGAUUAAUUCGAUGCAACGCGAAAAACCUUACCUACCCUUGACAUGCCAGGAACCUCGCAGAGAUGUGAGGGUGCCCGAAAGGGAACCUGGACACAGGUGCUGCAUGGCUGUCGUCAGCUCGUGUCGUGAGAUGUUGGGUUAAGUCCCGCAACGAGCGCAACCCUUGCCAUUAGUUGCCACAUUCAGUUGGGCACUCUAAUGGGACUGCCGGUGACAAACCGGAGGAAGGUGGGGAUGACGUCAAGUCCUCAUGGCCCUUAUGGGUAGGGCUUCACACGUAAUACAAUGGCCGGUACAGAGGGCAGCCAACCCGCGAGGGGGAGCUAAUCCCAGAAAGCCGGUCGUAGUCCGGAUUGCAGUCUGCAACUCGACUGCAUGAAGCCGGAAUCGCUAGUAAUCGCGGAUCAGCAUGUCGCGGUGAAUACGUUCCCGGGUCUUGUACACACCGCCCGUCACACCAUGGGAGUGGGUUCCACCAGAAGUAGUUAGCCUAACCGCAAGGAGGGCGACUACCACGGUGAGAUUCAUGACUGGGGUGAAGUCGUAACAAGGUAACCAAGGG